AUUGAACGCUGGCGGCAGGCCUAACACAUGCAAGUCGAACGGUAGCACAGAGAGCUUGCUCUCGGGUGACGAGUGGCGGACGGGUGAGUAACGUCUGGGAAACUGCCCGAUGGAGGGGGAUAACUACUGGAAACGGUAGCUAAUACCGCAUAACGUCGCAAGACCAAAGUGGGGGACCUUCGGGCCUCACACCAUCGGAUGUGCCCAGAUGGGAUUAGCUAGUAGGUGGGGUAAUGGCUCACCUAGGCGACGAUCCCUAGCUGGUCUGAGAGGAUGACCAGCCACACUGGAACUGAGACACGGUCCAGACUCCUACGGGAGGCAGCAGUGGGGAAUAUUGCACAAUGGGCGCAAGCCUGAUGCAGCCAUGCCGCGUGUAUGAAGAAGGCCUUCGGGUUGUAAAGUACUUUCAGCGGGGAGGAAGGCGGUGAAGUUAAUAGCUUAACCGAUUGACGUUACCCGCAGAGGAAGCACCGGCUAACUCCGUGCCAGCAGCCGCAGUAA
rnacentral:rRNA from 1 species